UACGAAGGGUGCAAACGUUGCUCGGAAUCAUUGGGCGUAAAGCGCACGUAGGCGGCUUCGCAAUUCGGAUGUGAAAUCCCUCGGCUCAACCGAGGACGUGCAUCCGAAACUGCGAAGCUUGAGUACAGAAGAGGAUCGCGGAAUUCCCGGUGUAGAGGUGAAAUUCGUAGAUAUCGGGAGGAACACCAGUGGCGAAGGCGGCGAUCUGGGCUGAUACUGACGCUGAGGUGCGAAAGCGUGGGGAGCAAACAGG
rnacentral:rRNA from 1 species